GCAUAUCAAUAAGCGGAGGAAAAAGAAACCAACCGGGAUUGCCUCAGUAACGGCGAGUGAAGCGGCAAGAGCUCAAAUUUGAAAGCUGGCUCCCUUCGGAGUCCGCAUUGUAAUUUGCAGAGGAUGCUUUGGGUGCGGCCCCCGUCUAAGUGCCCUGGAACGGGCCGUCAGAGAGGGUGAGAAUCCCGUCUUGGGCGGGGUGUCCGUGCCCGUGUAAAGCUCCUUCGACGAGUCGAGUUGUUUGGGAAUGCAGCUCUAAAUGGGUGGUAAAUUUCAUCUAAAGCUAAAUACUGGCCGGAGACCGAUAGCGCACAAGUAGAGUGAUCGAAAGAUGAAAAGCACUUUGAAAAGAGAGUUAAACAGCACGUGAAAUUGUUGAAAGGGAAGCGCUUGCGACCAGACUCGCCCGCGGGGUUCAGCCGGCAUUCGUGCCGGUGUACUUCCCCGUGGGCGGGCCAGCGUCGGUUUGGGCGGCCGGUCAAAGGCCCCUGGAAUGUAGUGCCCUCCGGGGCACCUUAUAGCCAGGGGUGCAAUGCGGCCAGCCUGGACCGAGGAACGCGCUUCGGCACGGACGCUGGCAUAAUGGUCGUAAACGACCCGUCUUGAAACACGGACCAAGGAGUCUAACAUCUACGCGAGUGUUCGGGUGUCAAACCCGUGCGCGCAGUGAAAGCGAACGGAGGUGGGAGCCCCCUUGCGGGGCGCACCAUCGACCGAUCCUGAAGUCUUCGGAUGGAUUUGAGUAGGAGCGUAGCUGUGGGGACCCGAAAGAUGGUGAACUAUGCCUGAAUAGGGCGAAGCCAGAGGAAACUCUGGUGGAGGCUCGCAGCGGUUCUGACGUGCAAAUCGAUCGUCAAAUUUGGGUAUAGGGGCGAAAGACUAAUCGAACCAUCUAGUAGCUGGUUCCUGCCGA
rnacentral:rRNA from 1 species